rnacentral:rRNA from 1 species
UACGUAGGGGGGCAAGCGUUGUCCGGAAUUAUUGGGCGUAAAGCGCGCGCAGGCGGUCAGUUAAGUUGGGUGUUUUAAGCCCGGGGCUCAACCCCGGUACGCAUCCAAAACUGGUUGACUUGAGUGUAGGAGAGGAAAGUGGAAUUCCACGUGUAGCGGUGAAAUGCGUAGAGAUGUGGAGGAACACCAGUGGCGAAGGCGACUUUCUGGCCUAUAACUGACGCUGAGGCAUGAAAGCGUGGGGAGCAAACAGG